rnacentral:lncRNA from 1 species
UGCAAUAUAACACUUAAUUGAGUGACCUCUGUAACUAUUUUUUAAAGUUGAGUGACCAAAAUGUAACUCUGAGUAUAGUUGAGGGACCAUUGCUACAAAUAACCAUUUUUAUUUUUUUUUUGUUAUUUCAUUUUAUAAAUAUUUGGAAUGAAUUUCUAAGUUUACCCAUGGAUUUAACGGAAAAAUAGACAAACUUGACGAAAGGGACUAGUAAUGCAACACCAUACAUAAUUGGAGGAACUCUGCAGCUAUUUUUGGAGUUGAGUGACCAAAAUGUAACUACGGGUAUAGUCCAGGGACCAUUGCUACAAAAAACCCUAAAAUAUAUUAGACCAAUAUGCAUUUUUGUUAGCCGAUACCAUGUUAUUUGAACUUAUAAGAUAUAAUAGUGACAUGUGUAACACAAGGUUCAUAUGUUAUGGAGCGUAUAAUAUAGAUAAAUAAAUACGCGUAUUACAA